ACGCACACCUAUGAGCUGCGUGCCUAUGGUGACACUAUGCUAGUAGGGGAAAAGUGUGUUCGCAUUCCAUGUUUGUGGACGGCAUGAAAGCCAAGAUAAAAUGGAUGCCUUCCCAUUGUACUGCAUACGGUUGCACACAACGCCGUACACUCACAACAAGGGAACUGGGAAUAACCUUUCAUAGAGGAACAUCUGGUCUGUCGGUGGGAGGAGGAUGAAGGAUAAAGACAUCACUCGGGACCGAGGGGCCACGAGAGGCCAAAGGGGGCCCCAUGUGCUACUCGAAGGGAAGGAUUUUUUUUUUUUUUAAAUCAACAGGCAACAAAGAGUGGCUAAGUGAAAGAAGAACAGGAGACGCUUGGUUAAAGUGCUUUGAUUUAUGUUUUCAGAUAUCAAAUUCAGAUAUGGCACAGAAUCCAACAAGAAUCCACAAUGCCAUUUUUAUUUUUUUUUUAAUUUUUAAAAACCGUUUAUCUUUUUUAUUUUUUUAAUUUUUUUAGUACCGGUAGUUUAAAAGGCAAGUAACCAAAAAGCCGACAGUCGGCCAAUGACUGUGUAGGAGCCAGGAGAAUGAAAUGGCUUCAAACUGCCAACUAGCUCCUGCGGGCAACUUAGUACGCGUUAUCCACCGGGACGUAACCUCAGAGUGCGCAGCUCACGAUGCUAUGUGAGCAAAGUCAGUGUUAUAUGCAGUGGACUCACCUUUGCUGUGCUGCGGCUGGAAACUCUGCAUUAGAUGCAUACAAGAGUCAGUGUUACCAGCAGGAGAUCGACAGCAUGAGACGACUUAGCGUGGGUACACGUCCCACGGAAGCCCACCUUGGAGCGCUCCACCCGGAUACAGGCUACACUGAUCAUCAGAAACCAUUCCAUAAAUCAGGGAAUUUGAGAAUAAAAAUCAUUCAGAAUGCAAAAGGAAAACCACUUAUUAUCCAAGUGGCGCAACAAGGUCCACUCUUUGAGUGUCAUUGCUCCGUACGCAAUGAAAAAUUAAUUGGUUUGAAGACUAAAAUAAACGCUAAAAACCAACAGUGCAAAAGUGCAACAAACCGUUUACCUUGUUAGCUGUCACAAUGUUGGCAUAGACGUAUUUUAUUGUUUCACUCACCCAAUUGACAGAGUUGACAUCACGCGGUGUAGGCUGAGGCUCGGAGCGGGAGGGAGCACGUCAGACAACACACAUUGUGAAAGCCUUUGCACAAUAUAAUCUUAUUCCAAGAGAUGCACUGAGGAGACUGGUCAUUAAUUUAAAAAAAAGUUAAGACACACUUUUUGUUCGCUGCUGUUGAGCACAAGCACGUUUUCUUUUCCUCUAAAUAAUGGUUUAUAUAAUGUUUAACAUUAUAAUAGUCAUUUGUUCAAAACAUUUAUUUUUCCGUUUUCUUACAAUGUUUUUGCAGCAGCAAGACAAGUUAAUUUAAAAAAGCAGUGUUUUACUGCCCCCACCCCAAAAAAAUGAAAUAAAUAAAAAUUGUACCAAUUAGAAUAUCGUUAAAGUACCAGAUUGAUAAGCAGCACUAUGCAGCAUAGUUAAAAGUAGGAUUGUUAAAAUCUUAACGAUACCCAUUCCGACUAACGCAGUCAACUCCAGUGCCUAGAUUUCCUUUUUCAGUUUUUCUUUUUUGUCAGUUGACGACUUUUGGGAAUUUUUAGGUAUCACUGUAUUCAUCGGGGGUUGAGGUCCAGGAUGACUUUUAUUUGAACCUAUCUGAACCGAGCGUGAAUGUGAUUACAUAAAUGACUUCACCCAUCCAUAGUAAUGAGCCACUACAGGCUAUAGGGGUGAGUUCACGCCAUGGUCGUGUUGGAAUCAACAUUUCCUGGAACAGGUGCCACUUGCUUGUUAAAAAAAAAAAGUUAAUUUUGUGCAAGUGACAAAGUGCAAUGGUUUUUCAGCACUCACAGUGCGAGCCAAGGUGUGGUGAAGGGACAGUCAUGGGAGAAAGCUUAAACUGCAUCACUGGCAAGCAGCAGCAUUUCUCACCAAUAGGAAAAGAAAGACUUAAAUUCACAGCCAGAAAGUUUCAGUGAAAAAAUAAAAUAAAUUUAACAAAAGUCACUGGAUGGGAAAAGCUCAAAGAUUUAAGAAGAGACGUCAGCCAAAAAUGUGUCAUGGAUAACCAGGGAGCCAGUCUAAGCUCUACAACACUCCAUUUCCCUAUGCACAAUGUGCUUUCGUGUCCAUUAUACCCAAUUCAUUGUUACAGCAAGAUGGGCGUAUCCAUAACGUUUUGUACAUAAUCAGGAUAGACAAGAGUGGUAACCUAAACUUGGGAAAUAAUUGCUUUGUUUGCUAGUAUGAAAUAGUUUAUGAAUUCAUAAAACAUCAAAAACCAUUACUGCCUUCAUACAUCUGUUGCUGCCUUGGCUGACCACAGCUGCACAAAUAUAGAGAGUUCACCAUCUUCUGGAUUUUACCUUAUUAAUUUUACUAAAAUGUAGCCUGUAAGACAAGGCAUUUUAGUUUUUAAAUAAAACUCCGGCAGGACAAGUGAUUAUGCCAUCGCUUACUUCUCUUUAUUUUGUACUUGACAUGGCAAACAGCACCAAAAUGAGAAUGGCGGAGUGGGAGAAGGGACCUGAGAAACUCUGUACUUGCCGGAUAGCCUGACGCCACAACUCGCAGAUCCACCAUCACGCAAGGCUAGAAAUGAGAGGAUUAAAAUACAUUGAAAAGAGAAACUUCCAAACACCGAUCUUUACGUUUUCCCCCUGAGUGGCACUUGGCGGACAAGAAGCAGGCUAGACAAACUCUGUGCUCCCCGAGCUUAUGUUGCGAUGGCCGUCUUGGUGGCAAAGUCCGUCGCCGGGAGGUGCACCCCCGCCACGGGCUCAGCAGCAAAAUCCACCACCGCCCCGGCAGCAAGGUCCACCGCUGGCUGACUCGGUCCCGCUAGGGAGUGGAGGUCCGAGCCCAAACGGGCGUUUGCAUCAUCGUCGGCCAGGCCAGAGGAGACGAACACCGGCGUGAGACUGGCCGAUGGGGACGCUCUGAUGGUCCAAUUCAGUCAGUCGCGGGGUAAAAACAAUAAUAAACAUUCCCAAGCAGGAGCUCCUCCAGCCUGCAGAAAAAAUGCCACGUUUGCCAUAGUACAAAACAAGGAAAUGAAGCCCAGCUUUUUGUCUGUGUUCAUAUGUUCAGAAAUAAAUCUUUGCGAUGUACAGUCUUUUUUUUUCUA